rnacentral:rRNA from 1 species
CCUACGGGGGGCAGCAGUGGGGAAUCUUCCGCAAUGGACGAAAGUCUGACGGAGCAACGCCGCGUGAGUGAAGAAGGUUUUCGGAUCGUAAAGCUCUGUUGUUUGAGACGAACGUGCAAUUUUUGAAUAAGGAAUUGUAAUGACGGUAUUAAACGAGAAAGCCACGGCUAACUACGUGCCAGCAGCCGCGGUAAUACGUAGGUGGCAAGCGUUGUCCGGAAUUAUUGGGCGUAAAGGGAGCGCAGGUGGGAAAGUCAGUCGAUUUUAAAAGUGCGGGGCUCAACCCCGUGAGGGAAUCGAAACUACUUUUCUUGAGUGCAGGAGAGGAAAGCGGAAUUCCUAGUGUAGCGGUGAAAUGCGUAGAUAUUAGGAGGAACACCAGUGGCGAAGGCGGCUUUCUGGACUGUAACUGACACUGAGGCUCGAAAGCCAGGGGAGCGAACGGGAUUAGAUACCCCAGUAGUC